rnacentral:tRNA from 1 species
ACCGCGAUAGCUCAGCUGGUAGAUCACCUGCCUGGUGUGUUGAGGGUCGCCGGUUCGAUACCGGCUCGCGGUG